AAACGGCGGCCGUAACUAUAACGGUCCUAAGGUAGCGAAAUUCCUUGUCGGGUAAGUUCCGACCUGCACGAAUGGCAUAAUGAUGGCGGCGCUGUCUCCAGCAGAGGCUCAGUGAAAUCGAAAUCGCUGUGAAGAUGCAGUGUACCCGCGGCUAGACGGAAAGACCCCGUGAACCUUUACUGCAGCUUGACACUGAACUUUGACCUUACUUGUGUAGGAUAGGUGGGAGGCUUUGAAGUUGGAACGCUAGUUCCAAUGGAGCCGUCCUUGAAAUACCACCCUGGUAAUGUUGAGGUUCUAACUCUGUCCCGUUAUCCGGGACGAGGACCGUGUCUGGUGGGUAGUUUGACUGGGGCGGUCUCCUCCUAAAGAGUAACGGAGGAGUACGAAGGUGCGCUCAGCGUGGUCGGAAAUCACGCGUAGAGUAUAAAGGCAAAAGCGCGCUUAACUGCGAGACCCACAAGUCGAGCAGGUACGAAAGUAGGUCUUAGUGAUCCGGUGGUUCUGUAUGGAAGGGCCAUCGCUCAACGGAUAAAAGGUACUCUGGGGAUAACAGGCUGAUACCGCCCAAGAGUUCAUAUCGACGGCGGUGUUUGGCACCUCGAUGUCGGCUCAUCUCAUCCUGGGGCUGAAGCAGGUCCCAAGGGUAUGGCUGUUCGCCAUUUAAAGAGGUACGCGAGCUGGGUUUAGAACGUCGUGAGACAGUUCGGUCCCUAUCUACCGUGGGCGCUGGAAAUUUGAGAGGAUCUGCUCCUAGUACGAGAGGACCAGAGUGGACGAACCUCUGGUGUACCGGUUGUGACGCCAGUCGCAUCGCCGGGUAGCUAUGUUCGGAAGGGAUAACCGCUGAAAGCAUCUAAGCGGGAAGCCUACCUCAAGAUAAGAUUUCCCUAGGAAUUUAUUCCUCUAAAGAGCCGUUCGAGACUAGGACGUUGAUAGGUUGGAUGUGGAAGCAUAGUGAUAUGUGAAGCUGACCAAUACUAAUUGCUCGUGAGGCUUGACUAUACAACACCCAAGCAGUUG
rnacentral:rRNA from 1 species